UUGGGCGGCGGAUAUCCGGUUCCUGGAGCAACGAACGGCGGCGGCUGCGGCGGCGACGGCGACGGCGACAGCUACAGCUUCUGAGGAAGCGGUUGCGGAGGAGGAAGAAGAGGAGCUGGGCAAGGCGAGAGCCACAGGCGGGACCCUCGCCAUGGGUCAGCGGACCUAGAGCGGUGGAAGGUACCGGCGGGAGCCGAGCUGGCCGCUGCUCCUUCUUGUGGCCCCAUGGCUGAGGACUGGCUGGACUGCCCAGCCCUGGGCCCUGGCUGGAAGCGCCGUGAGGUCUUUCGCAAGUCAGGUGCCACCUGUGGACGCUCAGACACCUAUUACCAGAGCCCCACAGGAGACAGGAUCCGAAGCAAAGUUGAGCUGACCCGAUACCUGGGCCCUGCGUGCGAUCUCACCCUCUUUGACUUCAAACAAGGCAUCCUGUGCUAUCCAGCCCCCAAGGCCCAUUCCUUGGCCAUCCCCAGCAGGAAGCGGAAGAAGCCUUCGAAGCCAGCCAAGGCUCAGAAACGUCAGGUUGGACCUUCGAAGAGCGAAGUCAGGAAGGAGGCCCCAAGGGAUGAGACCAAGGCUGAUGCUGGCACAGUCCCAGCCUCACUUCCUGCGCCUGGGUGCUGUGAGAACUGUGGAAUCAGCUUUUCAGGGGAUGGAACCCGACGGCAGCGGCUCAAGACUCUGUGCAAGGACUGCCGAGCACAGAGAAUUGCUUUCAACCGGGAGCAGAGGAUGUUUAAGCGUGUGGGCUGCGGGGAGUGUGCGGCCUGCCAGGUAACAGAAGACUGUGGGGCCUGCUCCACCUGCCUUCUGCAGUUGCCCCAUGAUGUGGCCUCGGGGCUGUUCUGCAAGUGUGAGCGAAGACGGUGCCUCCGGAUUGUGGAAAGGGUGAGUCGGGCAGGUGGGGUGGGCCCGAGGCUCACCUGCACUCCUGACCCUCAUAGCCCUGGCCCCAUGCGUCACACCUCCGGCCCCCCACAGAGCCGAGGGUGUGGAGUGUGCCGGGGCUGUCAGACCCGAGAGGACUGUGGCCGUUGUCGAGUCUGCCUUCGCCCUCCCCGCCCUGGUCUCAGGCGCCAGUGGAGGUGCGUCCAGCGGCGUUGCCUGCGGCACCUUGCACACCGCCUCCGCCGCCACCAUCAGCGAUGUCAACGACGCCCUCCCCUAGCUGUGGCUCCCCCUGCUGGUAAACACGGCCGCCGCAGGGGAGGCUGCGACUCCAAGGUGGCUCCCCGGCGGCGCCCCCCCCGAACCCAGCCACUGCCUGCACUUCCGCCCUCGCAGCCUCCAGAGUCUCCAGAGCUGCACCCCAGAGCCCUGGCCCCCUCGCCACCUGCUGAAUUCAUCUAUUACUGUGUAGACGAGGACGAGCUACAGCCUUACACGAACCGUCGGCAGAACCGCAAGUGUGGGGCCUGUGCGGCCUGCCUGCGGCGGAUGGACUGUGGCCACUGCGACUUCUGCUGUGAUAAGCCCAAAUUCGGGGGCAGCAACCAGAAGCGCCAGAAGUGUCGUUGGCGCCAGUGCCUGCAGUUUGCUAUGAAGCGGCUGCUGCCAAGUGUCUGGGCAGGUUCCGAGGAUGGCGCCGGGCCACCCGCAGCUUACCCGCGUCGAAAGAGGCCUGGCUCUGCUCGAAGGCCCCGUCUGGGUCAGACCCCGAAGCCUCCCUUGGCCACGCCCAUGGCCCAGCCAGACCGUGCCCAGACUCCAGUGAAGCAGGAAGCAGGCAGUGGCUUUGUGCUGCCCCCGCCUGGCACCGACCUCGUGUUCUUACGGGAGGGUGCAAGCAGUCCCGUGCAGGUGCCUGGCCCAGCUCCAGCCUCCACGGCGGCUCUGUUACAGGAGGCCCAGUGCCCUGGCCUGAGUUGGGUCGUGGCCUUACCCCAGGUGAAGCAAGAGAAGGCGGAUGCCCAGGAAGACUGGACACCGGGCACAGCCAUCCUGACUUCUCCUGUAUUGCUGCCUGGCUGCCCCAGCAAGGCAGUAGACCCAGGCCUGCCACCUGUGAAGCAAGAGCCACCUGACCCUGAGGAGGACAAGGAGGAGGAGAACAAGGAUGACCCCACCGCUGACUUGGCCCCAGAGGAGGAGGCAGGAGGGGCUGGCACGCCCGUGAUCACGGAGAUUUUCAGCCUGGGUGGAACCCGCCUCCGGGACACAGCAGUCUGGUUGCCAAGUCUGCAGGGCAGGCAAUCGGGAAGGGAAGAUGGAUGUAAAGAGUGGGAGACCGAGGAGACACUGGCGCCCACGAGCACGAGCUGCAAACCACGCGGAUGGCCCGGAACCCAUGUCAGCCUCUCACCACCUCCAACUUCGAUGAUGUGGGUUUCCUGCAGAAGAAGCUGGUGCCCUUCAUCACAGAGUUAAAUAUGCAUCUGGGCCAGGAAUUAGAGAAGCUGAAGGAAGAUCCUGGGGAAGGUGGAGCAGCUGCAGGCCUGGCUGCAGGCCUGACUGCUGCCCCAUACCAACGAGGCCUCCCAGGAGGUUGAGACUUGGUUGAAAGCCUCGUCUCACCGGGCUUGGCUCCUGGCCCAGCCCCUCCACCCACUGAAUAGGCCCGCCAGGGGGCUCCGGCGCCCGGACCGCGGUCCUCCCACCGGGGCUCGGGAGAAGCUGCCCCUCACCCGCCUGCCUGGGCGGCCCUGGGGCGUGGGCGUGGCCUCCGCUGGGUCCAGGCUUCUGUUCCCAAGCCGAGCUGUCACGGUGGGAAGCCGAAUCCCCUCUUCACAAAGUGGCUCAACAGGCUACGUAAACUCUUAGCAGUAAAUGAAAAUGAGUAUUUUUCCGAACUGCAGUUGAAGGAAGAAGCUUUAUAGGACAUAAAAGACAAAAUGAGAGAAUUAUUAAAAGAAAGUUUGAAAGAGAAGAGAGACACUGUUUUGUGGCUGAAAGCCUGAACCAGCAAUUCAGGAAAUGGAGUCCAAACCUAGAAACAUUACUGCCUACAAAAUCCGAAGUGGGCGCAUUACAAAUGAUUAAGCAAUGCUAAUUUACCGUAAAUUGCGGUCUUAAGAUGGGAUGCACAGUACUAGUUGUACUUUGGUUAUUACACGUCAGUGACCGACUAGGUGCUGAUUUUUUUUUGUGUUGUAGUGAUGGUUCUAUGUUCACCCCCACUAUAGAAAGAGUACCAAAGUGUUAUUUGGCUUUUAGGUAUUAACUACCACCUUGCUCUUGACCAGAAGUACAGCUGUGGUCUCCACCUGUGCUGAGGGCCCCUUCUAGGUUUCCUGACCUGUGUUGUUUUCCUGCCUGGGAUCCGGAAUCUCAGAGCCUGAUCACCUGCAAUUCUAAUCCACAUCCUACCCCUGGCCCUAGUUUUUAUUGUGCCCAGCCAGGUCGUGUCACUGCCGUACCAGCCCAUCUGAUUGCCCCCCAUCCUAGGGUACCUCAAGUCUAAGCCCCGGUUUCCUGAUUUUAUUAACAAAUUUGUCAUUACUGGUUGAGUUGGCUGACAAAACAGGCUCUCUCAGCUUUGUUUAGUUGUAAAAUGAGGAUAAUACCCGCUGUUCCAUCAAUCUUGUAAGAUAUUUGUGAGGCUCAGAGGUUUUAUGUGUGAAAAUAACUUGUAAAUUCCUGUAAAGAACUACGCGAAUAA